AUUGAACGCUGGCGGCAUGCCUAACACCUGCAAGUCGAGCGAGCGGCGGACGGGUGUGACAUGUCUGGCAAACUGCCUGCUGGAUGGGGAUGACUCCUGGAAACGGUAGCAAAUACCGCGUACCAUCAGCUGUGCCCAGCUGGGAUUAUCUAGUAGUUUGGGUAACGGCUCACCUAGGCGACGAUCCCUAGCUGGUCUGAUAGUCUGACCAGUCACACUGGAGCUGACACACGGCCCAGACUCCUACGGGAGGCAGCAGGGGGGAAUUUUGCACCAUGGGCGCAAGCCUGAUGCAGCCCUGCCGCGUGUGUGAAGCAGGCCUUCGGGUUGUAAAGGACGUUCAGCUGGGAGGCGUUACCCGCAGAAGAAGCACCGGCUAACUCCGUGCCAGCAGCCGCGGUAAUAC
rnacentral:rRNA from 1 species